GUUCUGUGUUCUUCAUCUACCAUCCCUGCAGACAUAGCCAGAGUGGGAUUCCCCAGGGCAGAACCUGACAAUGUGCUUCUCAUCAGUUAAAACUCGUGCAACGGCUUCUUUUCCGUCUCUCUCCUUCCCCAUUCUCUACUCAUGUUUUCUCUGACUUGGCACUUUCAUGCAUAAAACACUGUAAUGAAGUCGUCUGGGAACAUAAUUCCAUAUCCUACUGAUGUUGCUGAUACGAACAGAAGGCAAGGGAGAUACUGGGUAGAAGAGGGCAGUUCCCCAGCAAAGCCUCAAGCCUGGAAACCUACGGCCCUAAAUGGGAACAGGCAUUCCUGUUUCUGCACCCAAACGUUGCCUUUUGGCCUGCCACGCCCCCCAUCCUGUACCCAUAUAAACUCCAAACCCCAGGCUCCAUGAGCAGAAGAGCAGAGGAAUAGAAGAGUGGCAAGGCAAAGAAGGAGAGAAGAGAAGAAGCAUCUGAAUAUCAAGAGGAGUUCAGCUGGGGGCAGUUGGAGAGAAGAUCAGCCGCAGGCUGGCUGAACUCCAGGUGAAGAUCUCAUCUUCCCACUCCAUUCCCUUUCAUCCCGCUGAGAGCCACCUCCAUCUGGCAAUAAAAUUCCCAGCAUUUACCAUCCUUCAAUUUGUCUGUGUGACCUGAUUUUUCCUGGAUGCCAGACAAGAACCUGGCUACCAAGAGGGCACUGAGCUGGUUAACGUUUAAGCUGUCUGUGGAUGUCAGAGCUAAAAGGAGCACUGCAACAAGCCCAUCAAGGUUUCAGGAGUUGCAGGUACUCUCCCCAGACGCUACUGUGGGGCUGGAGCCCAAAAGUGCUCAUCCCGGCUCCUGCGCCUGCCUGUCUGAAUGGUCCCCCUCCUGUAAGCGGUUUGAGCAUGUGGUGGCCAAACAGAUAAGCCACACCCCUCUAGAACUUCCUGUGAGGGGGGUCAGGGAACUCUCCCAUCUCAUUGCUUCUGGUUAAGAUCUUCCAUAUGUAAUUUGAAUUCUACAUUUUCGGAGUAAGCUCAGAUCAUGUUAAUUUUGCUUUUGCUCUAGAAUAUUUUCUGUUUCCUAUUUAUGUGAGGAAACAUUAUAGCAGAAUGUCCACAUUCUAGACCUAAAGUAUCUCCUAGCUGGUAUGCCACAGUGGCUCAUUUUCAAGGAGCUGAGUUACAGAUAGGAAAAAUAUUGCCUGACUAUUACACCUUUCUCGAAAAAGCUAAGCAUACCCUUCCUGGCCCUGUUUUUGUGGGAAUGCAGCAGCUCAUAUGAAUAUCAUUAGAAAAAGAAUAAACUCUCUCUACAUCCCUUUCACUCUCAUGGCAUUAAGCAAGAUCAGGCCUUGAUUAUAAGGCACGUGGGCUUUUGUCCAAGGAGCAAAUUAAAUAAGUGACCUUUUCAAGGAAAAAGAGGAAUACUGUAGUACUCAAUGAUAUCAUAGUUUCUGAGAGCAGCCUGAGAUCAAAAGUAAAGGCGGAUUUUGAGGAAAAAAUGAUGCAAUGAAUGUGUGAAUAAAAGUAGUCAGAAAUUUGAUCUAAGGUUUCAGAUAGUAAAUCAAAAUAAUUUAUUUGAGUCUCUACAUGAUCUCUCUCUCUCUCUUUCUCUUCUGUUGGAAUUAGAUACUUGGAUUUCAUUAGUUAUUUUAUUUUCUUGUUUACUCUGUGGCCUUUCCCUGUAGCAGGAACACUCAAGCUAUUCAAAGGAGAAGAAGCCAAAUAAAUCAAAUUCUUUAAGUCACAGCUUAGAGAUACUUGCUGGUUCCUGUAGACCUUGAAUCUCCAGAAAGAUCUGGGAUAAUUUAAAUGUGAGAGUAAGAGAGAUUUAGAACUUUGCAACCAUAAAACUUAUAUUUGACUGAAGAUAUGGGCCAGUGGAUACAACUUCCUGAGGAAUAUAAAUAUGCCAAAUAUGCAAAAGAAUAUUUGAUCACCCAUGACUGGAGGAAAGCUACUAAGUGACUCUGCCAGGCCAUACUGUUGACUUAUUUGUAAAAGGAGGAGGCUGAAAAUAUGAAAGACACCUUUAGAAGUAAGUGAGAGCCAAGAAAAUACAACAAGAGAGGAACGUAUUCUCAUCCACUGACUCCCAUAGCACACAGACUUUGGAGUCAAAGGGUUGAGGGCUGUGUGACCUUCUCAUAGUUGUUAACUGUUCUGAGCCUUCGCUAACAUGAUUGAGAAUGAAAAUCAUCAUAGACUGGUUUCAGUGUAUUGUUGGUGCCCCAAAGCAACAGAAUUCUGGGUGUACACAGGCUGCUAGAUGUGCCCAAGUGUGAGCGUGCUGGAAGUUAGAAAGCUGAUGAAACAUUUUAAUCUGAGCUUUGUGCCUUGAAUGAACUCUGUGUUCCUCCUGGUAGCCUACUUUACCCUAGGAAUCAAAAUAGAGCUUUGAACCAUUUUCUUUAUAAACUGUCCUCCUAACCCCCAUCCCCUGCAGUUCCCACACACACUGAGGCCAGCUUUGGCCCACUUUGCCUUUCCCAGGCUUCAGGAGCCCAAGAGACACUAAAACCUGGAUUUGUUGGAGUCGUCUAUCCUGCAAUUUCCCCAAACACAUACUGAAUAAAGAACUCUAAAACUAGUUUUCAUGGGCUAUUUGUUCUGUCUUCCCCCAAUCUCUUUAUACUUAAAUUAUGACUGAAGUCAGCUCCAAAGUACUUAAGUGCCAGUGAUUUUGCUAUUCGUAUGCUAUGUUUCUAUUGACUUUAAAACUAAUCUGAUCAUUCAAAAAGCUGCCAAACCCAGCCCAG
rnacentral:lncRNA from 10 species